rnacentral:rRNA from 1 species
GGAUGGCUGUUAUAUAGCCCGACACAGCAAGAAGUAAAACAGUAAUUAACUGUAUCAUAUCCGGCGAGCAGUGCGAGCCGUCGAUCCUCUUUUCACUUCCAUCGUAAGCCGUCGGAUAACUGAACGAAACAGUACGCUUGACGAACAGGGCUGAUGCCUGACACUGAAGGAUAUGUACAGAGAACAAGUGGAUCUUCUUGUUAUCCAGCUCCAGACAUUGGGUGCUCGUGUAUAGUGUGCUAUUGACCAAAGACAAGAGUUUUGAAGGCUGAACAAGUCCCAUCAAAACCGCAGCGAGUGUGGGAAGUUCAUAGUCAUGCGAGAUAUAUUGAUUUUGUGUACACCGUGACGGAUCUUUGUUGUCGAUUUCAGUAGGAUAUAGUGUGUUGUACACUUAGACUGAAUAGCUUCACAGUUUUACACAUUGCUUGC